rnacentral:ncRNA from 1 species
UCAACGGGGUGCCUGCGAAAGGCUGAGAAAAACCCGUCGAACCUGAUUCGGUUAAUACCGACGUAGGGAUUUG